GACGGCCCCAGCGCGUUGGUUGCGCCCCGCGGCGGCAAGACGUGUGUGCGGUGCCGUGCUGCCACGUAUUGCUGCGGCGCUUGCCAGCUUGUGGACUGGCGUGAGCGGCACUCUGGCACCUGCAGUGGAGCCGCCGCGGCGGCGGCAGGGUCAGCAGGGACAGCGAAGGCAGCGCUGAAGAAGGCAUGAAUGCUACGGGCGAGCCCUCAGUAGCCUGCGGCGGCGGUGGCAGCAGCGGGAGCAGUAGCAGGAGCAGUAGUGGGCAGGGCAGCAGCAGCGAUGGGCCGGUAUUUGAGCACAAGCUGUGCUACAACCCGCGCUGCUGCUCGCUGGACGGCCCCAGCGCGUUGGUUGCGCCCCGCGGCGGCAAGACGUGUGUGCGGUGCCGUGCUGCCACGUAUUGCUGCGGCGCUUGCCAGCUUGUGGACUGGCGUGAGCGGCACUCUGGCACCUGCAGUGGAGCCGCCGCGGCGGCGGCAGGGUCAGCAGGGACAGCGAAGGCAGCGCUGAAGAAGGCAUGAACUGACGAAGUGCAACAGCAGUAUGGACCCGAAGACUGCGCUUCAAAUGCGG
rnacentral:lncRNA from 1 species